GGCCGCGGGAAUUCGAUUGGAUCGCCCUUAGAGUUUGAUCAUGGCUCAGGAUGAACGCUAGCGAUAGGCCUAACACAUGCAAGUCGAGGGGCAUCACAUGAAGUAGCAAUACGGAUGGUGGCGACCGGCGCACGGGUGAGUAACGCGUAUGCAACCUGCCUACAACAGGGGGAUAACCCGUUGAAAGACGGACUAAUACCCCAUAACACAGGGGUCCCGCAUGGGAAUAUUUGUUAAAGAUUUAUCGGUUGUAGAUGGGCAUGCGUUCCAUUAGCUAGUUGGUGAGGUAAGGGCUCACCAAGGCAACGAUGGAUAGGGGAACUGAGAGGUUUAUCCCCCACACUGGUACUGAGACACGGACCAGACUCCUACGGGAGGCAGCAGUGAGGAAUAUUGGUCAAUGGGCGCAAGCCUGAACCAGCCACGUCGCGUGAAGGAAGACGGCCCUACGGGUUGUAAACUUCUUUUGUAAGGGAAUAAAGUGCAGUACGCGUACUGUUUUGCAUGUACCUUACGAAUAAGGAUCGGCUAACUCCGUGCCAGCAGCCGCGGUAAUACGGAGGAUCCGAGCGUUAUCCGGAUUUAUUGGGUUUAAAGGGUGCGCAGGCGGGAGAUUAAGUCGGCGGUGAAAUUUUGCAGCUCAACUGUAAAAGUGCCUUCGAAACUGGUUUUCUUGAGUGUAGAUGAAGUAGGCGGAAUUUGUGGUGUAGCGGUGAAAUGCAUAGAUAUCACGAGGAACUCCGAUUGCGCAGGCAGCUUACUAAGCUAC
rnacentral:rRNA from 1 species